GUUAUGUCUGGCACCAUGAAGAUAAGUUGUAAAGAUCUGAGGAGUUUAUGGACUUCUGAUAAAAAGACAUUCAUCAUUUCAAGCUUGGUUUUUAAAAAGGGAGUUCUUAGUGAAUAUUU